CUCAUUUUUCCUUGUUCGGGGUUUGAGGUGCCACCUUACAAAAGGAUGGGUGUACGCUCUCUUUUCAGAUCUUUUAUUGAAGUUUGGGGUUUUUUUUUUCUGUUCUAGAUGUGGUUCAUCUCAAAGCCCUUUACACUUUGGAGCCAGGCCUGUUCAAUUUUACAAAUAACACGUUUUGCUUGUAGUCAGGGUGCUGUGACAACAUGAAGAGUUCGAGCUACCUCCCAGGAUGAGUGCAGGUUUUCCUGGUGACAAAUCUCAGGCAUUCAAAGGUUCUGUUAGCAGUGCCAUACUUGUGGGUUUACAGAGAUGGUGUGUCUGGCUGAGAACAAAGGAGCCGUACCAGGAAAGUUGAAGCAUAUCUUCAUUUUCAAGUCCAGGCUAAAAUAAGGUCUGAGGAAAAGAAUGAGCUGCGUGUGAAGGAUAGGAACAGAAAUCAUGAAAGAUCUGUUUGUCCAGGCCAGUGUUUCACCAUAAGAGAUCACUUUAAAAUAAAUGAUGAAAUAAUUCUUUGCAAUUGCAAAUUUACCUUCCUUGCUUACCACAUUGUUAACUGUAGGAGCUGAUACCUGGUUCUUCCACUGUUAACUUGUACUCUGUGUUUGUUCUAGCAAUAAAUGCUCUUUAUGCUA
rnacentral:lncRNA from 1 species